rnacentral:rRNA from 1 species
UACGAAGGGGGCUAGCGUUGUUCGGAAUUACUGGGCGUAAAGGGCGCGCAGGCGGCCGACCAAGUCAGGCGUGAAAGCCCCGGGCUCAACCUGGGAACUGCGUUUGGGACUGGUUGGCUAGAGAUCGGGAGAGGAGAGUGGAAUUCCCAGUGUAGAGGUGAAAUUCGUAGAUAUUGGGAAGAACACCGGUGGCGAAGGCGGCUCUCUGGACCGAUACUGACGCUGAGGCGCGAAAGCGUGGGGAGCAAACAGG